UGGGGUGUGGCUCAGUGGUGGAGCGCUCACCUAGCACAUGCGAGGCCCUGGGUUUGAUCCUCAGCACCACAU
rnacentral:tRNA from 1 species